rnacentral:rRNA from 1 species
UACCAGCACCCCGAGUGGUCGGGACGAUUAUUGGGCCUAAAGCAUCCGUAGCCGGUCAUGCAAGUCUUCCGUUAAAUCCAGCCGCUCAACGGUUGGGCUGCGGAGGAUACUACGUGGCUAGGAGGCGGGAGAGGCAAGCGGUACUCAGUGGGUAGGGGUAAAAUCCUUUGAUCCAUUGAAGACCACCAGUGGCGAAGGCGGCUUGCCAGAACGCGCUCGACGGUGAGGGAUGAAAGCUGGGGGAGCAAACGGGG